UGGGGAAUAUUGGACAAUGGGCGCAAGCCUGAUCCAGCCAUGCCGCGUGUGUGAAGAAGGCCUUCGGGUUGUAAAGCACUUUCAGCGAGGAGGAAGGGAGUUGUGUUAAUAGCACAGCUUCUUGACGUUACUCGCAGAAGAAGCACCGGCUAACUCUGUGCCAGCAGCCGCGGUAAUACAGAGGGUGCAAGCGUUAAUCGGAAUUACUGGGCGUAAAGCGCACGUAGGCGGUUUUUAAGUCAGAUGUGAAAGCCCCGGGCUCAACCUGGGAAUUGCAUUUGAAACUGGAAAACUAGAGUGUGUGAGAGGGGGGUAGAAUUCCAAGUGUAGCGGUGAAAUGCGUAGAGAUUUGGAGGAAUACCAGUGGCGAAGGCGGCCCCCUGGCACAACACUGACGCUCAGGCGCGAAAGCGUGGGGAGCAAACAGGAUUAGAUACCCCGGUAGUCCUGAGCGGGCUGGCAAGGCGCAU
rnacentral:rRNA from 1 species